GGUCACUGCUAUUGGGAUUCGACUAAGCUAUGCGAGUCGAGAGGGUUCGGCCCUCGGCUGACGGCUCAGUAACACGUGGAUAAUCUGCCCUUAGGUGGAGGAUAAUCUCGGGAAACUGAGAAUAAUACUCCAUAGAUCUAGGAUGCUGGAAUGCACUUAGAUUGAAAGCUCCGGCGCCUAAGGAUGAGUCUGCGGACUAUCAGGUUGUGGUCAGGGUAAUGACCUGACUAGCCUACGACGGAUACGGGUUGUGAGAGCAAUAACCCGGAGACGAUAUCUGAGACACGAUAUCGGGCCCUACGGGGCGCAGCAGGCGCGAAAACUUCACACUGUGCGAAAGCACGAUGAGGGAAUCCCGAGUGCCAACUCGUAAGAGUUGGCUGUUUCUCUGUCUAAAAAAUAGAGAGAGUAAGAGCUGGGUAAGACGGGUGCCAGCCGCCGCGGUAAUACCUGCAGCUCAAGUGGUGGCCACUAUUAUUGGGCCUAAAACGUCCGUAGCCGGUUUAAUAAAUGCCGGGGUAAAUCGUGUAGCUUAACUAUACGAAUUCCGGGUAGACUGUUAGACUUGAGACCGGGAGAGGCUAGAGGUACUCCUGGGGUAGAGGUGAAAUUCUGUAAUCCUAGGGGGACCACCAGUGGCGAAGGCGUCUAGCUAGAACGGGUCUGACGGUGAGGGACGAAGCCCUGGGGCGCAAACCGGAUUAGAUACCCGGGUAGUCCAGGGUGUAAACGCUGCUUGCUUGAUGUUAGUUGGGCUCCGAGCCCAAUUAGUGUCGGAGAGAAGUUGUUAAGCAAGCUGCCUGGGAAGUACGGCCGCAAGACUGAAACUUAAAGGAAUUGGCGGGGGAGCACAGCAACGGGUGGAGCGUGCGGUUU
rnacentral:rRNA from 1 species